GAGUUCAAGCCCAACUACUGGCACACAUUGAAAAAAAGUUACAGCCUCGCAAUGAAAUGGGUUGUCAUCAGGAAUUCCUUCCACGGUGAAUUACCUACUAAAAGAGAAAGGGAACUUGGAGUAAGAUGCUAGUGUGGCUAAAAGAUAUAUCACUUUAAACCAAUCUAACAUCCCUUGCAAAGACUCCUGAGCCUAAGAUCUAGCCUAAGCUCUACUGGUUCCCAAAUCCCUACACACUGCUCUUACUUGCCUGGAGUUCCAUAGAAAGAUUAUCUGAAUGCCCCAAUCUGGCUUCUUACUUCUCUAACUAGAUACAAUUUAAAGAAUGAACAGUCAUGCUUCCCAGCCUGGUUGCAAAUAGCUCCCAUCAAUUUUACCCACCACCAAGUUCUUACACCUUUGAUGGAAACUAAUUAAGCUCACGCAAUGCAUUGGUUUUCUGGUGGCUUUUUUCUCCCCAGACUGUCUUUGGUGUUGUUUUCCUUCUCCCAGACUGAAG